rnacentral:lncRNA from 1 species
UUCUUCGGGGUACGACAAUCCGUGGACUUGUGGCUAAUCUUGCCACAAUUGAAGCAUUUUCCCUUGAAUUUCUUCUUGGGUUGAUUGCUUCCUUGUUCAACUUUCUUCCUUUUCUUAGAAUUGUUUUGGUCAUCUUCCACAAUAUGUGCUCCAUUAAUUGCAGAAUUUUCUUUUGACCUUCUUUCGGCAGCUUUAUUAUCCUCUUCAAUAC